AAUUGAAAGUUGGAGGACUAAAGUGCAAAUACUCAAAAGAUGUGCCGAAUGAGUGGCAUAAUAUUUGAAAGUGUCGAUCAUCAAUUGGAAGAUAAGAAUUGUUGAAAAGAUGAAGAAAUCGAAGAAAGAAGUCAAGAGAAGCAACAAAGAAGUUCAGGGACCAAAUUGCACAAACCACAUAGAUGGCUACUUCUAUGCGACCGCAUAGUGUAACCUUCUAUGCGGUCGCAUAGAAGGUUUUAGGGAAUUAAAUGAGAGAAAAAAAUGAUCUAUGCGACCGCAUAGAUCCCUUCUAUGCGGUCGCAUAGUUAAUUUUGAAAUUUCGGGCGUAGUUUUUCGUUUUGGUUGAAACUCCUUCCCUACUUAAUUUGGACGCGAUAUAAAUACCCAAAAUCAUCAUAUUAAGA
rnacentral:lncRNA from 1 species